AACGAACGCUGGCGGCAGGCCUAACACAUGCAAGUCGAACGCCCUGGCAACAGGGAGUGGCAGACGGGUGAGUAACGCGUGGGAACGUGCCCUUCGGUUCGGAAUAACUCAGGGAAACUUGAGCUAAUACCGGAUACGUGCGGGAGCAGAAAGAUUUAUCGCCGAAGGAUCGGCCCGCGUCCGAUUAGCUAGUUGGUGAGGUAACGGCUCACCAAGGCGACGAUCGGUAGCUGGUCUGAGAGGAUGAUCAGCCACACUGGGACUGAGACCCGGCCCAGACUCCUGCGGGAGGCAGCAGUGGGGAAUAUUGGACAAUGGGCGCUAGCCUGAUCCAGCCAUGCCGCGUGAGUGAUGAAGGCCGUAGGGUUGUAAAGCUCUUUCGCCAGGGACGAUAAUGACGGUACCUGGAUAAGAAGCCCCGGCUAACUUCGUGCCAGCCGCCGCAGUAA
rnacentral:rRNA from 1 species